GGAGAAGCAGGGGAUCGCAAGACCUUGCGCUUUUGGAGCGGCCGAUGCCUGAUUAGCUUGUUGGUGAGGUAAAAGCUCACCAAGGCUUCGAUCAGUAGCUGGUCUGAGAGGACGACCAGCCACACUGGGACUGAGACACGGCCCAGACUCCUACGGGAGGCAGCAGUGGGGAAUUUUGGACAAUGGGGGCAACCCUGAUCCAGCCAUGCCGCGUGAGUGAAGAAGGCCUUCGGGUUGUAAAGCUCUUUCAGCCGGAACGAAACGGUUACGGUUAAUACCCGUGACUACUGACGGUACCGGAAGAAGAAGCACCGGCUAACUACGUGCCAGCAGCCGCGGUAAUACGUAGGGUGCGAGCGUUAAUCGGAAUUACUGGGCGUAAAGCGUGCGCAGGUGGUUUUGUAAGUCAGAUGUGAAAUCCCCGGGCUUAACCUGGGAACUGCGUUUGAAACUACAAAGCUAG
rnacentral:rRNA from 1 species